rnacentral:rRNA from 1 species
GAAUCGCAUGGCCUUGCGCCGGCGAUGGUUCAUUCAAAUUUCUGCCCUAUCAACUUUCGAUGGUAGGAUAGUGGCCUACCAUGGUGGCAACGGGUAACGGGGAAUUAGGGUUCGAUUCCGGAGAGGGAGCCUGAGAAACGGCUACCACAUCCAAGGAAGGCAGCAGGCGCGCAAAUUACCCAAUCCCGAUACGGGGAGGUAGUGACAAUAAAUACUGAUACAGGGCUCUUUUGGGUCUUGUAAUUGGAAUGAGAACAAUCCAAAUCCCUUAACGAGGAACAAUUGGAGGGCAAGUCUGGUGCCAGCAGCCGCGGUAAUUCCAGCUCCAAUAGCGUAUAUUAAAGUUGUUGCAGUUAAAAAGCUCGUAGUUGAACCUUGGGCCCGUCCUGCCGGUCCGCCUCACCGCGAGUACUGGUCCGGAUGGGCCUUUCUUUCUGGGGAAUCCCAUGGCCUUCACUGGCUGUGGCGGGGAGCCAGGACUUCUACUGUGAAAAAAUUAGAGUGUUCAAAGCAGGCCUUUGCUCGGAUACAUUAGCAUGGAAUAAUAGAAUAGGACGUGCGGUUCUAUUUUGUUGGUUUCUAGGACCGCCGUAAUGAUUAAUAGGGAUAGUCGGGGGCGUCAGUAUUCAGCUGUCAGAGGUGAAAUUCUUGGAUUUGCUGAAGACUAACUACUGCGAAAGCAUUCGCCAAGGAUGUUUUCAUUAAUCAGGGAACGAAAGUUAGGGGAUCGAAGACGAUCAGAUACCGUCGUAGUCUUAACCAUAAACUAUGCCGGCUAGGGAUCGGGCGGGGUUUCUAUGAUGACCCGCUCGGCACCUUACGAGAAAUCAAAGUUUUUGGGUUCUGGGGGGAGUAUGGUCGCAAGGCUGAAACUUAAGAAAUUGACGGAAG